CCUACGGGUGGCAGCAGUGAGGAAUAUUGGUCAAUGGACGAGAGUCUGAACCAGCCAAGUAGCGUGAAGGAUGACUGCCCUAUGGGUUGUAAACUUCUUUUAUAUGGGAAUAAAAUGUUCCACGUGUGGGAUUUUGUCUGUACCAUAUGAAUAAGGAUCGGCUAACUCCGUGCCAGCAGCCGCGGUAAUACGGAGGAUCCGAGCGUUAUCCGGAUUUAUUGGGUUUAAAGGGAGCGUAGGUGGAUUGUUAAGUCAGUUGUGAAAGUUUGCGGCUCAACCGUAAAAUUGCAGUUGAAACUGGCAGUCUUGAGUACAGUAGAGGUGGGCGGAAUUCGUGGUGUAGCGGUGAAAUGCUUAGAUAUCACGAAGAACUCCGAUUGCGAAGGCAGUUCACUGGACUGCAACUGACACUGAGGCUCGAAAGUGUGGGUAUCAAACAGGAUUAGAUACCCUAGUAGUC
rnacentral:rRNA from 1 species